CCUACGGGUGGCAGCAGUGGGGAAUAUUGGGCAAUGGGCGCAAGCCUGACCCAGCAACGCCGCGUGAAGGAAGAAGGCUUUCGGGUUGUAAACUUCUUUUAUCAGGGACGAAGCAAGUGACGGUACCUGAUGAAUAAGCCACUGCUAACUACGUGCCAGCACCCUCGGUAAUACGUAGGCGGCAAUCGUUAUCCGGAUUUACUGGGUGUAAAGGUCGUGUAGGCGGGAGGGCAAGUCAGAUGUGAAAACUAUGGGCUCAACACAUAGCCUGCAUUUGAAACUGGACUUCUUGAGUGCUGGGGAGGCAAUCGGAAUUCGGUGUGUAGCGGUGAAAUGCGUAGAUAUACGGAGGAACACCAGUGGCGAAGGCGGAUUGCUGGACAGUAACUGACGCUGAUGCGCGAAAGCGUGGGUAGCAAACAGGAUUAGAUACCCUAGUAGUC
rnacentral:rRNA from 1 species